GAGUUUGAUCGUGGCUCAGAUUGAACGCUGGCGGCGUGCUUAACACAUGCAAGUCGAGCGGUAACAGGCGUAGCAAUACGUGCUGACGAGCGGCGAACGGGUGAGUAAUGCUUCGGAAUCUUCCUCGUAGUGGGGAAUAACCUGGGGAAACUCAGGCUAAUACCGCAUACGAACUACGGUUGAAAGCAGGGGAUCGCAAGACCUUGCGCUAUGAGAUGAGCCGAAGUCGGAUUAGCUAGUUGGUGAGGUAACGGCUCACCAAGGCGACGAUCCGUAGCUGGUCUGAGAGGACGACCAGCCACACUGGGACUGAGGCACGGCCCAGACUCCUACGGGAGGCAGCAGUGGGGAAUAUUGGACAAUGGGGGCAACCCUGAUCCAGCGACGCCGCGUGUGUGAAGAAGGCCUGCGGGUUGUAAAGCACUUUUAGUGGGAUGAAAGGCCGAAGGCUAAUACCUUUCGGUCUUGACCUAACCCAAAGAAAAGCACCGGCUAACUCUGUGCCAGCAGCCGCCGCC
rnacentral:rRNA from 1 species